rnacentral:piRNA from 1 species
UGGUUCGUCACAUUCUUUUAGAUGUUUC